CCUACGGGGGGCAGCAGUGGGGAAUAUUGCACAAUGGGCGGAACCCUGAUGCAGCGACGCCGCGUGAGUGAAGAAGUAUUUCGGUACGUAAAGCUCUGUCAGAAGGGAAGAAGAAAGACGGUACCUGACCAAGAAGCACCGGCUAACUACGUGCCAGCAGCCGCGGGAAUACGUAGGGGGGAAGCGUUAUCCGGAUUUACUGGGUGUAAAGGGAGCGUAGACGGGAGGGCAAGGCUGGAGUGAAAGGCAAGGGGCCAACCCCGGGAAUGCUCUGGAAACUGUCCGGCUAGAGUGCAGGAGAGGUAAGUGGAAUUCCUAGUGUAGCGGUGAAAUGCGUAGAUAUUAGGAGGAACACCAGUGGCGAAGGCGGCUGACUGGACUGUAACUGACGUUGAGGCUCGAAAGCGUGGGGAGCAAACAGGAUUAGAUACCCGGGUAGUC
rnacentral:rRNA from 1 species